AGCAGCCGCGGUAAUUCCAGCUCCAAUAGCGUAUAUUAAAGUUGUUGCAGUUAAAAAGCUCGUAGUUGAAUUUCGGGGUUCUACCGUUGGUCGGGCUUUGUCUGUACUGGCGUGUAGAAUUUCUACCUUCUGGGGAACCAUUAUGUUAUUAAUUUAGCGUGGUGGGAAACCAGGACUUUUACCUUGAAAAAAUUAGAGUGUUCAAAGCAGGCUUAUGUCUGAAUACAUUAGCAUGGAAUAAUAGAAUAGGACGGUGGUCCUGUUUUGUUGGUUUCUGAAUCACCGUAAUGAUUAAUAGGGAUAGUUGGGGGCAUUAGUAUUCAAUUGUCAGAGGUGAAAUUCUUGGAUUUAUUGAAGACUAACUUCUGCGAAAGCAUUUGCCAAGGAUGUUUUCAUUAAUCAAGAACGAAAGUUAGGGGAUCGAAGACGAUCAGAUACCGUCGUAGUCUUAACCAUAAACUAUGCCGACUAGGGAUCGGACGAUGUUAACUUUUCUUGACUCG
rnacentral:rRNA from 1 species